UCAUCACAAGGUUCUUUUAUUCCCGAAGGUUGUCAAGAUAUAGUGAAUACUGCCCUUGGGCGAUCAGAGCACCCUGGUCGUGUUCGUAUAGCUAGGGCUGGUGUUACUAUAUAUUGGUGAUUACUUUGGACCAUUGUCACAAGGCUCAUCGUUAUCUAAAUUGAGCCCCCAGGAUUUUGAAGCCCUCACACAACAAAUAUAUGUACGGGUCACACAAAGUUUAAUGUCAAAGUACCCAAAUGUGAGUGCUCAACAGUCAUAGGAUGUUCCUCCAGUUGAGGUAGUGGCCAUUGGUAGAGUUUAUGAGGGGAGUUUAGCCAUACACCAUGUGCCUUUGACAAAUGAUUUGGUCAAAGUGGUUGUUGAGCAAGUUCAAGAUUCUAAUGCUCCAGUUCCUGUACCUACUUUAGAGGUUCAAUUGGUUGGAUAGGCCCUACAAAUUUUCAUUUCAUGGCCGAGACAUUUUGUGAUAGAUAUUUCAGCCAUGGGUAUUGAUGGAGUAAAUAUACGAGUACCACCUCUUGAUAGGUCGAAACCUAAUAGUGAUCCUAUCAGAGACUUGUGUGAGGCAUCAAAGUCCUUACUUUAUGGCCAACCUUUUCAGAUAUUUGAAUCAAAAAAUUGAAGAGCUUGGCCAUGGUGACUUGUAUCGAUUUUUUGAGCCCCAGACAAUACAAAAAUCAGGGAAUAAAAAAGCUGAGUCUCAAAAUUAUAUCAAUGAAAGGAUAAAAACUUCACCAAAGCAAAUUUACUUGGCUCCUUAUGUCGAUCAAAAUCAUUGGAAAAUCUUGGUUCUUUGUCCUAUAAACAAUGUUGCAAUCUGGUUUUGUUCUUUGCAUCGUAAGCCCAAUGUACAAUUCAAAAAUUUAAU